rnacentral:rRNA from 1 species
AUUGAACGCUGGCGGCAGGCCUAACACAUGCAAGUCGAGCGGAGCGGCGGACGGGCGAGUGAUGCCUAGGAAUCUGCCUGGUCGUGGUGGAUAACGUCCGGCAACGGGCGCUAAUACCGCAUACUAUCAGAUGAGCCUAGGGCGGAUUAGCUAGUUGGUGGGGUAAAGGCCUACCAAGGCGACGAUCCGUAACUGGUCUGAGAGGAUGAGCAGUCACACUGGAACUGAGACACGGUCCAGACGCCUAAGGGAGGCAGCAGUGGGGAAUAUUGGACAAUGGGCGAAAGCCUGAUCAAGCCAUGCCGCGGGUGUGAAGAAGGUCUUCGGAUUGUAAAGCACGUUAAGUUGGGAGGCGUUACCAACAGAAGAAGCACCGGCUAACUUCGUGCCAGCAGCCGCGGUAAUUC